rnacentral:rRNA from 1 species
UCGAGAGGCUUUGGCAAUGGGGGAAACCCUGACCAAGCGACGCCGCGUGGGUGAUGAAGGCUUUCGGGUCGUAAAGCCCUGUCAUGGGAGAAGAAAAACUAUCGGGACAAUACCCCGGUAGCUUGACGGUAUCCCAGGAGGAAGCUCCGGCAAACUCCGUGCCAGCAGCCGCGGUAAUACGGGGGGAGCAAGCGUUGUUCGGAUUUACUGGGCGUAAAGGGCGUGUAGGCGGCCUAUCAAGUCGGGCGUGAAAUCCUCUGGCUCAACCAGAGAACUGCACCCGAAACUGAUAGACUUGAGUAUAGGAGAGGAAAGCGGAAUUCCUGGUGUAGCGGUGAAAUGCGUAGAUAUCAGGAAGAACACCAGUGGCGAAGGCGGCUUUCUGGCCUACUACUGACGCUGAUGCGCGAAAGCCGGGGGAGCGAACAGGAUUAGAUACCCUGGUAGUCCCGGCCGUAAACGUUGGGCACUAGGUGUAGGGGGUAUCGACCCCCUCUGUGCCGAAGCUAACGCAUUAAGUGCCCCGCCUGGGGAGUACGACCGCAAGGUUG